GAGCCGGGGAUCGAUCCUCUCACAGUGACUGUUUUCCCUGGAUGUCGACCUUGGGUAAGUCGAGCUUGCAAAAGUCGAGCCUGGGGUUGAUCCUCUUCUGACGCUCGAGUUGGAACCUCCCGGGUGAUGAAGUACGAAAUCUGCUACCAGUAGGCUCGCGGGGUUGCGAGGAGGGCCGGAGGCUUUGGAGUCCAUGACGCGCGCUCUACGUCAAAUACCUGCACAAGUGGAGGGGAGUCGGUGACUCGGGCUCCUUGGUUCUCUGGUAUGGAGUGUUGUGAGUCAAGGUGAUAUGAGAAUGGAGGACCCCCAAG
rnacentral:lncRNA from 1 species